GUGGGGAUUAGUGGCGAACGGGUGAGUAACACGUGGGCAAUCUGCCCCUCACUUCGGGACAAGCCCUGGAAACGGGGUCUAAUACCGGAUGAUACCUCCACUCGCAUGGGUGGAGGUUGAAAGCUCCGGCGGUGAGGGAUGAGCCCGCGGCCUAUCAGCUAGUUGGUGAGGUAACGGCUCACCAAGGCGACGACGGGUAGCCGGCCUGAGAGGGCGACCGGCCACACUGGGACUGAGACACGGCCCAGACUCCUACGGGAGGCAGCAGUGGGGAAUAUUGCACAAUGGGCGCAAGCCUGAUGCAGCGACGCCGCGUGAGGGAUGACGGCCUUCGGGUUGUAAACCUCUUUCAGCAGGGAAGAAGCGCAAGUGACGGUACCUGCAGAAGAAGCGCCGGCUAACUACGUGCCAGCAGCCGCGGUAAUACGUAGGGCGCGAGCGUUGUCCGGAAUUAUUGGGCGUAAAGAGCUCGUAGGCGGCCUGUCGCGUCAAUUGUGAAAGCCCGGGGCUUAACCCCGGGUCUGCAGUCGAUACGGGCAGGCUAGAGUGUGGUAGGGGAGAUCGGAAUUCCUGGUGUAGCGGUGAAAUGCGCAGAUAUCAGGAGGAACACCGGUGGCGAAGGCGGAUCUCUGGGCCAUUACUGACGCUGAGGAGCGAAAGCGUGGGGAGCGAACAGGAUUAGAUACCCUGGUAGUCCACGCCGUAAACGGUGGGCACUAGGUGUUGGCGACAUUCCACGUCGUCGGUGCCGCAGCUAACGCAUUAAGUGCCCCGCCUGGGGAGUACGGCCGC
rnacentral:rRNA from 1 species